AAAUUGGCUCAUGUAACUAUAGAGGCUGAGAAUUCCCAUUAUCUGCUGCCUUCAAGUCAGAAAUGCGGGACACCCAGCGGUGUUGCUUGAAGGUUUGAGAACCAGGAGUGCUGAGGGCAAUAGAAGAUCCCUUCAGGAGUAGCCCCAGGUAAGGGACCCCAAAGAGUGACCUCACUUCCUUGACAAUAGACCCCAACAGAACUUGGAACACUGGAAACCAAGCACCCACAUUCUAGAAACAGUCUCUCCCCAGCUCACUUGGCUGAAGAUACUAAAGAGAACUAGAUGUUAUCUAGUGUUAUCCUGCUGAUCCCAAUUUCCUAUAGUUCUGGCACCAGAAAAUCCUGAAUGAUAGGUUUUUCUGAAGCUGCUGACAUCGGGUCAGCCCUCAACACCAUCACCUUUGGCCAUGUUCAGGAAGUACUCAAAGAUCAUGGCUCAAAAGUCUGCAGAGCAGAGACAAGAGAUUGACAAAGAGGUGUUGAUGAGGGCAAUAAAAGCAAAGGUGGCUUUAUCACGGUGAGCUACUUCUCACAGGAGUCGGGAUCCACAUCUGCAGACUACACAAAAACAAACAACACAGAUUAAAAGCACAAUCACCA
rnacentral:lncRNA from 1 species